rnacentral:sRNA from 17 species
AGCUCGACGGGGUCGACUGCGCGCGUGACGACGAGGUAGUCACGCAUCACGAUGCCGUGACGGUUCUC